AACGUACGCUGGCGGCACGCCUAACACAUGCAAGUCGAACGAAGUAGCAAUACUUAGUGGCAGACGGGUGAGUAACAUGUAGGUAUCUGCCCUUUGGCCUGGAAUAACACGAGGAAACUUGUGCUAAUACCGGAUAAGUCUUUACGGAGAAAGCUUUAUGCACCAUUGGAUGAGCCUGCACUUGAUUAGUUUGUUGGUGGGGUAAUGGCCUACCAAGACUGUGAUCAAUAGCUGAUUUGAGAGGAUGAUCAGCCACAUUGGGACUGAGACACGGCCCAAACUCCUACGGGAGGCAGCAGUGGGGAAUCUUGCACAAUGGAGGAAACUCUGAUGCAGCGAUGCCGCGUGAGUGAAGAAGGCCCUUGGGUUGUAAAGCUCUUUCGUCGGGGAAGAAAAUGACUGUACCCGAAUAAGAAGGUCCGGCUAACUUCGUGCCAGCAGCCGCGGUAAUACGAAGGGACCUAGCGUAGUUCGGAAUUACUGGGCUUAAAGAGUUCGUAGGUGGUUGAAAAAGUUAGUGGUGAAAUCCCAGAGCUUAACUCUGGAACUGCCAUUAAAACUUUUCAGCUAGAGUAUGAUAGAGGAAAGCAGAAUUUCUAGUGUAGAGGUGAAAUUCGUAGAUAUUAGAAAGAAUACCAAUUGCGAAGGCAGCUUUCUGGAUCAUUACUGACACUGAGGAACGAAAGCAUGGGUAGCGAAGAGGAUUAGAUACCCUCGUAGUCCAUGCCGUAAACGAUGUGUGUUAGACGUUGGAAAUUUAUUUUCAGUGUCGCAGGGAAACCGAUAAACACACCGCCUGGGGAGUACGACCGCAAGGUUAAAACUCAAAUGAAUUGACGGGGACCCGCACAAGUAGUGGAGCAUGUGGUUUAAUUCGAAGAUACGCGCAGAACCUUACCAACACUUGACAUGUUCGUCGCGACUCUAAGAGAUUAGAGUUUUCGGUUCGGCCGGACGGAACACAGGUGCUGCAUGGCUGUCGUCAGCUCGUGUCGUGAGAUGUUGGGUUAAGUCCCGCAACGAGCGCAACCCUCACUUUUAGUUGCCAUCAUUAAGUUGGGCACUCUGAAAGAACUGCCAGUGAUAAGCUGGAGGAAGGUGGGGAUGACGUCAAGUCCUCAUGGCCCUUACGUGUUGGGCUACACACGUGCUACAAUGGUAUCUACAACAGGAAGCAAGACUGCGAAGUUAAGCAAAUCCCUAAAAGAUACCUCAGUUCGGAUUGCACUCUGCAACUCGAGUGCAUGAAGCUGGAAUUACUAGUAAUCGUGGAUCAGCGUGCCACGGUGAAUGCGUUCCCGGGUCU
rnacentral:rRNA from 1 species